AAUUAAUGAAAGUACCAAACAACUAGAAAUGCGCUAAAUACCAAAGGCUAACUACCGACGACUUUUUUGUCCUUCGGUAAAUUAGAUUUACCGAAGGACACAUGAAAUGGUGAUUACGGACGACUUAUAACCGUCGGUAAAUGGAACUGACUUUAGCGAAGGCCUUUGACCGUCAGUAUGGGCAUGAACUUAAUGAAAUCAGAUUUGGGAUUUCCCUCUGCCAAAUUUCGCGCAAGCAUUCUUCCUCUCUCCCUCUACCUUAAGCAUCUCAGAGUUCACCUAAUCCCCC
rnacentral:lncRNA from 1 species